rnacentral:rRNA from 1 species
UACGUAGGUGGCAAGCGUUAUCCGGAUUUAUUGGGCGUAAAGCGAGCGCAGGCGGUUGCUUAGGUCUGAUGUGAAAGUUUGCGGCUCAACCGUAAAAUUGCAGUUGAAACUGGCAGUCUUGAGUACAGUAGAGGUGGGCGGAAUUCGUGGUGUAGCGGUGAAAUGCUUAGAUAUCACGAAGAACUCCGAUUGCGAAGGCAGCUCACUGGACUGCAACUGACACUGAGGCUCGAAAGUGUGGGUAUCAAACAGG